UACAGAGGUCUCAAGCGUUGUUCGGAAUUACUGGGCGUAAAGGGCUUGUAGGUGGCCAACUAAGUCACACGUGAAAUCCCCAGGCUUAACCUGGGAACUGCGUGUGAUACUGGAUGGUUUGAAUCCGGGAGAGGGAUGCGGAAUUCCAGGUGUAGCGGUGAAAUGCGUAGAUAUCUGGAGGAACACCGGUGGCGAAGGCGGCAUCCUGGACCGGUAUUGACACUGAAAAGCGAGAGCCAGGGGAGCAAACGGG
rnacentral:rRNA from 1 species